GAUGAACGCUGGCGGCGUGCUUAACACAUGCAAGUCGAACGGAAAGGCCCAAGCUUGCUUGGGUACUCGGUUGGCGAACGGGUGAGUAACACGUAGGUGAUCUGCCCUGCACUUCGGGAUAAGCCUGGGAAAGUGGGUCUAUUACCGGAUAGGACCACUUCUUGGAUGUUGUGGUGGAAAGUUUUUUCGGUGUGGGAUGAGCUCGCGGCCUAUCAGCUUGUUGGUGGGGUAGUGGCCUACCAAGGCGUCGACGGGUAGCCGGCCUGAGAGGGUGUACGGCCACAUUGAGACUGAGACACAGACAAGACUCAGACGGCAGCGAGAAGCAGGGAUGAGGGAUAAAGGGGCGUAAGCGAGAUGCAGCGACACCGCGGGGGGGAGGACGAAGUUGGGGUUGGGAUCGCAAAUCGCUAUUGACGAGGCGGUUUGUGACGGUACCUGGAGAAGAAGCACCGGCUAACUACGUG
rnacentral:rRNA from 1 species